UGGGGAAUAUUGCACAAUGGGCGAAAGCCUGAUGCAGCGACGCCGCGUGAGGGAUGACGGCCUUCGGGUUGUAAACCUCUUUCAGCAGGGACGAAGCGCAAGUGACGGUACCUGCAGAAGAAGCACCGGCUAACUACGUGCCAGCAGCCGCGGUAAUACGUAGGGUGCAAGCGUUGUCCGGAAUUACUGGGCGUAAAGAGUUCGUAGGCGGUUUGUCGCGUCGUUUGUGAAAACCAGCAGCUCAACUGCUGGCUUGCAGGCGAUAUGGGCAGACUUGAGUACUGCAGGGGAGACUGGAAUUCCUGGUGUAGCGGUGAAAUGCGCAGAUAUCAGGAGGAACACCGGUGGCGAAGGCGGGUCUCUGGGCAGUAACUGACGCUGAGGAACGAAAGCGUGGGUAGCGAACAGG
rnacentral:rRNA from 1 species